ACACGUGUGCAACCUGCCUUUAUCUGGGGGAUAGCCUUUCGAAAGGAAGAUUAAUACCCCAUAAUAUACUGGAUGGCAUCAUUCGGUAUUGAAAACUCCGGUGGAUAGAGAUGGGCACGCGCAAGAUUAGAUAGUUGGUGAGGUAACGGCUCACCAAGUCUGCGAUCUUUAGGGGGCCUGAGAGGGUGAUCCCCCACACUGGUACUGAGACACGGACCAGACUCCUACGGGAGGCAGCAGUGAGGAAUAUUGGACAAUGGGUGAGAGCCUGAUCCAGCCAUCCCGCGUGAAGGACGACGGCCCUAUGGGUUGUAAACUUCUUUUGUAUAGGGAUAAACCUACCCUCGUGAGGGUAGCUGAAGGUACUAUACGAAUAAGCACCGGCUAACUCCGUGCCAGCAGCCGCGGUAAUACGGAGGGUGCAAGCGUUAUCCGGAUUUAUUGGGUUUAAAGGGUCCGUAGGCGGAUCUGUAAGUCAGUGGUGAAAUCUCACAGCUUAACUGUGAAACUGCCAUUGAUACUGCAGGUCUUGAGUGUUGUUGAAGUAGCUGGAAUAAGUAGUGUAGCGGUGAAAUGCAUAGAUAUUACUUAGAACACCAAUUGCGAAGGCAGGUUACUAAGCAACAACUGACGCUGAUGGACGAAAGCGUGGGGAGCGAACAGGAUUAGAUACCCUGGUAGUCCACGCCGUAAACGAUGCUAACUCGUUUUUGGAAUGUAAGUUUCAGAGACUAAGCGAAAGUGAUAAGUUAGCCACCUGGGGAGUACGAACGCAAGUUUGAAACUCAAAGGAAUUGACGGGGGCCCGCACAAGCGGUGGAUUAUGUGGUUUAAUUCGAUGAUACGCGAGGAACCUUACCAAGGCUUAAAUGGGAAAUGACAGGUUUAGAAAUAGACUUUUCUUCGGACAUUUUUCAAGGUGCUGCAUGGUUGUCGUCAGCUCGUGCCGUGAGGUGUUAGGUUAAGUCCUGCAACGAGCGCAACCCCUGUCACUAGUUGCCAUCAUUAAGUUGGGGACUCUAGUGAGACUGCCUACGCAAGUAGAGAGGAAGGUGGGGAUGACGUCAAAUCAUCACGGCCCUUACGCCUUGGGCCACACACGUAAUACAAUGGCCGGUACAGAGGGCAGCUACACUGCGAAGUGAUGCAAAUCUCGAAAGCCGGUCUCAGUUCGGAUUGGAGUCUGCAACUCGACUCUAUGAAGCUGGAAUCGCUAGUAAUCGCGCAUCAGCCAUGGCGCGGUGAAUACGUUCCCGGGCCUUGUACACACCGCCCGUCAAGCCAUGGAAGUCUGGGGUACCUGAAGUCGGUGACCGUAACAGGAGC
rnacentral:rRNA from 1 species